rnacentral:rRNA from 1 species
UAAUACGUAGGGGGCAAGCGUUGUCCGGAAUCAUUGGGCGUAAAGAGCGCGUAGGCGGUCCGGUUAGUCAGCUGUGAAACCCGGGGGCUCAACCCUCGGACGCCGGCUGAUACUGCCGGACUAGAGUCCGGAAGAGGCGAGUGGAAUUCCUGGUGUAGCGGUGAAAUGCGCAGAUAUCAGGAGGAACACCAAUGGCGAAGGCAGCUCGCUGGGACGGUACUGACGCUGAGGCGCGAAAGCGUGGGGAGCAAACAGGAUUAGAUACCCUGGUAGUCCACGCCGUAAACGAUGGGCACUAGGUGUGGGAGGUGUCGACUCCUCCCGUGCCGCAGCUAACGCAUUAAGUGCCCCGCCUGGGGAGUACGGCCGCAAGGCUA